UUUACUGGAUGUAUUAAUCUC
rnacentral:piRNA from 1 species